UUUUAACCCAAGAUAGACUUGAAGAGAUCAAUCCGUACAUUGAAGUGUUUAAAAUUAACAUGAAAGCUAACUCCAGCUCCCCCCUAGACCGUUCGCCAACGGUCAAAUUGAAAAACCCAUCUUCGAACAGCCGCGUUUUCGGAAAUACAUCGGUGCGGUUCGGGUACCGCUCGGGCGCGUGCGUUUACAACCGGGCUGCAAGAGUUGAACGCUUCGUACUCAUUUGGGAGAAGAAAAAAAGUGCACACAAACAGGGUCGCCCUCGGGUUCUCGGUGGUCUGGGAAGAUUUCUUCUCUUUUCGGUGUGAAAAAGCGGACGGAAAACGUUGAAGGUUUGCAGUUAGUUUGCUUCUAAAACGUGAAAGUGUGUGAAAAAUCGUACCACAUGUAAGUGAACUGCUCGUAAUGUGUUUGGGGAGUUUUUUUUUGUGCGUGGGGGUUGAUUUCACAAUCGCACCAACACGGGGCGCGUUUCAAUGCCAGUCACGUCGUACCACCACCACACAGUGCAGUGAACAUUGCUUACCGUCCGGAUCUGAACAGCCACUUUCUUGAAGAACAUUUGCGAGCCUUUUCAUGGAAAACCAUUUCUGCGCUGCGGAUGGCACGAGUCUGCUGAAAAUGAGAAGAAGAAGCGAGGAGGAUUUGCAAUUUUGCACAGUUUUCUCUCGCCUUUUUGGUUGUGUGUGUGUGUUUGUGUGCGUAUUUUUCCCAACACAGCAUAUUUUUGAUCUCAACGCGGGGUCGUCUAGGUGUGUUUGUGUGUGUGUUCGUAUAGCGAUGGAAAUGGUGUACCGUUUGUUUUCCUUCCCUUUACCCCCUCAACCUCCUUACACCGUCGUCUCUUGUGACGGAUUCCAAAAGUCUAGCACAGGAUGUAUGCUUGCGUGCGCGUGUGUGCGUGUGUUAGUUUGCGACGAGACGAGUUUUGCGUGAGAGGGAGAGAGCAAACAGCAUGGCAGCGAGAGAGUGAGCGAGCAGAGACAGCACAUGAAUGAAGUUGAACGUACAGCAGCAGCCGCCGCCAGAGGGAAUUAUAGGUGGAUCGCGUAGUAGUAGUGUUCGUACGACAUCGCAAGCAGCAAGCCAGGCCCCAAGGCAGCCAGCCAACGCAGGCAAGGCAAGCAAAAGCAACAAACAAACAACGUGUCGUCAGCUAUUGUGGAUGACGACGGCGUAAAGUGGGAGCAAAAAAAAAAGAAAAACUAACUGCGUCGCAGAUGAAAACGCAUAUGACUGAUUAAAAAUUAAAAUCAAAAUAUAAACUGCUUACCUACCAGUGAGUGAAGUGUGUACGUGAUUGUGAAAUGUUUAUAGCACCAGAAAAAAGUUUAUAUUUUACAAUUUAAGUGAAUAAUCUGUUCAUUCAAAAUUACACUCUUCCAAAAGUCAGUGUUAGUGAAAAAUACAAAACUUGUGAAAUUUUGAAGGUGAAUAGUGAAAUUUGAAGCUAUUGAUUACAGCAAAAAUUAAAACGAUUCAUACAAAAUAAGGGGAAAAUAAGUUAAAGAGCAAUUAUUGUGCCGUUUGCCGAGUCUUUUAAAAAUACAAAAAAGG